CAGUCGAGCGGUAGAGAGAAGCUUGCUUCUCUUGAGAGCGGCGGACGGGUGAGUAAUGCCUAGGAAUCUGCCUGGUAGUGGGGGAUAACGUUCGGAAACGGACGCUAAUACCGCAUACGUCCUACGGGAGAAAGCAGGGGACCUUCGGGCCUUGCGCUAUCAGAUGAGCCUAGGUCGGAUUAGCUAGUUGGUGAGGUAAUGGCUCACCAAGGCUACGAUCCGUAACUGGUCUGAGAGGAUGAUCAGUCACACUGGAACUGAGACACGGUCCAGACUCCUACGGGAGGCAGCAGUGGGGAAUAUUGGACAAUGGGCGAAAGCCUGAUCCAGCCAUGCCGCGUGUGUGAAGAAGGUCUUCGGAUUGUAAAGCACUUUAAGUUGGGAGGAAGGGCAGUUACCUAAUACGUGAUUGUUUUGACGUUACCGACAGAAUAAGCACCGGCUAACUCUGUGCCAGCAGCCGCGGUAAUACAGAGGGUGCAAGCGUUAAUCGGAAUUACUGGGCGUAAAGCGCGCGUAGGUGGUUAGUUAAGUUGGAUGUGAAAUCCCCGGGCUCAACCUGGGAACUGCAUUCAAAACUGACUGACUAGAGUAUGGUAGAGGGUGGUGGAAUUUCCUGUGUAGC
rnacentral:rRNA from 1 species